CACGUAGGGCGCAAGCGUUGUCCGGAAUUAUUGGGCGUAAAGAGCUCGUAGGCGGUCUGUUGCGUCCGCUGUGAAAACUCGGGGCUUAACCCCCGAGCCUGCAGUGGAUACGGGCAGACUAGAGGUAGGUAGGGGAGAAUGGAAUUCCCGGUGUAGCGGUGAAAUGCGCAGAUAUCGGGAGGAACACCGGUGGCGAAGGCGGCCAGCUGGGCCGGACCUGACGCUGAGACGCGAAGGCGUGGGGAGCGAACAGGGAU
rnacentral:rRNA from 1 species